rnacentral:rRNA from 1 species
UUGUCAACACCGAGGCGCGGGACCAGGGGGGCUUGCCCUCCGAAGCUGCAGAUACCCUGCUUCCAGGAAAAGCCACUAAGCUUCAGCCCGUCGGGACCGUACCGCAAACCGACACAGGUGGGCAGGAUGAAAAUUCUCAGGCGCUUGAGAGAACUCAGGAGAAGGAACUCGGCAAAUUGACACCGUAACUUCGGGAGAAGGUGUGCCUUUGGUAGGUGUAGCGGCUUGCCCGCGAAGCCGAAGAAGGCCGCAGAGAAUCGGUGGCUGCGACUGUUUAUCAAAAACACAGCACUCUGCUAAGACGUUGGAAGUCGACGUAUAGGGUGUGACGCCUGCCCGGUGCCGGAAGGUUAAGUGAUGGGGUGCAAGCUCUUGAUCGAAGCCCCGGUAAACGGCGGCCGUAACUAUAACGGUCCUAAGGUAGCGAAAUUCCUUGUCGGGUAAGUUCCGACCCGCACGAAUGGCGUAACGAUGGCCACACUGUCUCCUCCUGAGACUCAGCGAAGUUGAAAUGUUUGUGAAGAUGCAAUCUACCCGCGGCUAGACGGAAAGACCCCAUGAACCUUUACUGUAGCUUUGCAUUGGACUGUGACGUUGUCUGUGUAGGAUAGCUGGGAGGCUUUGAAGCCGGGAUGCUAGUUCCGGUGGAGCCGACGUUGAAAUACCAGCCUGACGACGUUGCGGUUCUAACCUGGGCCCCUUGACGGGGUCGGGGACCGUGCAUGGUAGGCAGUUUGACUGGUCGGUCUCCUCCCAAAGAGUAACGGAGGAGUGCGAAGGUCACCUAGGUACGGUCGGAAAUCGUACUAAUAGUGCAAUAGCAUAAGGUGGCUUGACUGCGAGACUGACAAGUCGAGCAGGUGCGAAAGCAGGUCAUAGUGAUCCGGUGGUUCUGUAUGGAAGGGCCAUCGCUCAACGGAUAAAAGGUACUCUGGGGAUAACAGGCUGAUUCCUCCCAAGAGUUCAUAUCGGCGGGGGAGUUUGGCACCUCGAUGUCGGCUCAUCACAUCCUGGGGCUGUAGCCGGUCCCAAGGGUAUGGCUGUUCGCCAUUUAAAGUGGUACGUGAGCUGGGUUCAAAACGUCGUGAGACAGUUUGGUCCCUAUCUGCCGUGGGCGUUGGAGAUUUGACGGGGGCUGCUCCUAGUACGAGAGGACCGGAGUGGACGCAUCCCUGGUGUACCGGUUGUGACGCCAGUCGCAUUGCCGGGUAGCUAUAUGCGGAAGAGAUAACCGCUGAAAGCAUCUAAGCGGGAAACUUGCCUGAAGAUGAGAUCUCCCGGAGG